AAAAAGUGUCCAAAAUCUUUUGUCCGAUGAACCUGAAAUUUGAGGCCAAAAUCGGCUCUUACCGGACCUACUCUUUGAUAUCAUAUUGAAUUUCCUAAAACCAUCAAGAAAAAUAUAUGGUAAUGUUUUAAACAUAAUAUUUAAUAUUAAGAUUCCUAAAAGAGUAAUUAAUCAUGGAUUUGAAAGGGGGAAAAAAAGUACUCAAUUUUUCCUUUUGCAGGACAAGGGGUUUACAGGAGACGCCUUUUCAAAGAACAUUUGGAUGAGGCUACAAACCGGGUAGCAUAAAAGUGUAUAUAGAUACAGUCAUACAGAUACAAGAAAUUAGAUACGAGUUGCUUUCAAUUUUAUAUGCUGUCACAUUCAAGUAUUGAGGACCAUUGAUUGAGAUUGGUAAAAGUUUGAUACUUGUAAUCCCUCUUUAUUUUUGUGAGUAAAAACCUAUUUGGCCAAAUUCUUAAAUGCAACCUUAAGCUUUUUACAUUAUAUUACAAUUGUAUGCAUUUAUCUUCUUGUGCAAUUAAAUGAGUUAUGUUUUGUUGACUACAAUAGUUA
rnacentral:lncRNA from 1 species